UUUUAGUUUAAACAAUAUUUAUUCAGAUAAAUUCAUCAUGAUACGAUAUAAUACAAAUAUAUUCAGGAUUCAGAAACAAGCAAUUUGCUUUUACAAAUCUGUCUCCUUUACAAAAAUAAUACACUUAUUGAACAAUACAUAAAAUAAAUAACUGGCAUGCUCUGUAAUAAAUAUAUGAAUAUGAAAAAGGUGAAAGAAGAAUAAGAAGAAAAAAAAAUUAUUGAGAAAAAAAUAAAAAAUAAAUAAAAAUAAACAUGAAUUAUUGUACUGUAUACAGUGUGAAAUGCUUUGGUUCCUAAUGAGUGACGAAGCAUUAACAUCAAGGGUUAAAACGUUUACUUUUAAUAAUAUAUUUCUGCACCAAACUAAAUAAAAGACUAUUUUGCUCAUCUGAGAGUACCGUUGAUCCAAAAAGCAAAGUUGUUGUGUUAACUUGGACAGGAAGAACUGAAACAGAAUCUAAUAGUUCUUGUCUUAAAUUAGUAUAUAAAGGGCAAGAUAACAGGAAGUGAGAAUUUGUUUCUACAUCACCACAACGACAAUUUGGAGAGUCUACUAAGUUACGAAGGAAAAGGUGAGAAUUCAAUGAACUUGAAUCCAUUCUUAAGCGAGCAUGAAGAAUUUGACCAAAAC
rnacentral:lncRNA from 1 species